UCCCUUGUCACGGCGAGUGGUUAAGGCGUUUGCACUGCCACUCACAUGGCCAGGAGUUCGAGCCCCCUGUGGGUCAGAU
rnacentral:tRNA from 1 species